AAGUUAUCAUUUAUUACUCAUUUAUAAAGGUUUAUGAUUAGUCUUUUUCUAAGGUAUCUACAAAUCAAUCUUUGCAGAGUACAAGGAUUUUGAGUGAAGAAGGACACACUGACAGCAUUCAAACUCGGAAGGAAAGAGUCCCCAUGAGGUGGGGAACUGAAGAAGGAAUGGACAUUUCAGCAACUGAAGCAAUCAAGGGAGGAAAAGGUGUGCUAAGACCUUGGUUUUCAGCUGUUGCAUUUCAGUGGGAAGCACAGGACAUAGGACAAGGACAGCUGAAAACAAG
rnacentral:lncRNA from 1 species